AUGUCCGCGACCACGGCCGAGGCCGUGCGCCGGCUCUGCGCCGCCGGCGAGCUGCGGUCAGCGCUAGCGCAUCUCGCCCGCGGCGCGAAGGCGGGCGACGGGGCGCUGGACGUGGCCGCCUGCACGGCGCUCGUCCACGCCUGCUGCAGGACCGGCGACCUGGCGGAGGCGCGGAGGGUGUUCGGCGCAAUGCCGCGCCUGGGGCUGGCCCCGAACGAGGUCACCUUCACCGCCCUCAUCCACGGCCACUUCGUCCGCGGGCGCAGGGACGAGGGCUUCGCCCUGUUCGACGAGAUGAGGAGGGGCGGGGUCGAGCCGAACAUCUACACCUACAACGUGCUGAUCGGGGAGUGGUGCAGGACGGGGGAGUUCGAGGGCGCCCGCCGCCUGUUCGACGAAAUGCCCGCGAAGGGCGUCGCGCGGAACGCCGUCAGCUACAACACGCUGAUCGCGGGGCUGUGCAGGCACGGCAGGAUGAAGGACGCCGCCUGGCUGCUGGAGACGAUGCGGAAGGAGGGCAUCCGCCCGAGCAUCGUGACGUUCAACCUCCUCGUCGACGGGUAUGGCAAGGCUGGGCAGAUGUCCAACGCCUUGCAUUUCUCCAACCAAAUAAGGGCCGCUGGGCACCAGCCCAACGCUCUGACGCACAAUGCGCUCAUUGCGGGGUUCUGCCGUGCUAGAGAUAUUGCCCGUGCAAACAGGGCGUUCUCUGACAUGAAGGAGCGAGGACUGACACCCACAAAUGGGACCUACACCAUACUGAUUGAUGCAUUGGCCCGGGGCGGUGACAUGGACAAAGCUUUUGAGAUGUUUGCGGACAUGGGGAAGGCUGGUUUGGAGGUGGAUGUGCGCGCUUACGGUGUUUUGGUGCAUGCUCUCUGCAUGGAAGGGAACAUGAAAGACGCCAGGAAGCUGUUCCAGUCGAUGGAGGAGAAAGGCGUUAAGGCGAAUGGUGUGAUCUAUGACAUGAUGAUUUUUGGCUAUGGACGAGAAGGGAACUCCUACAAGGCUAUGAAAUUAAUCACGGAGAUGAGGAAGAAUGGCUUGGUUCCAAAUUUCGCUAGCUAUGGCCUGACGAUCCGUAGUCUUUGUAAUGAUGGUAAAUGUCCGGAAGCUGAAGCUCUUAUCAAGGACAUGGUGCAGGCUGGUCUACAACCAAACGAAUCGCUCUCCCAAGCACUACUGCAUGCCAAGGCAAGACAGGGAAGCUCGACCAGUAACUUUUUUACCUAG
rnacentral:rRNA from 1 species